rnacentral:rRNA from 1 species
GACGAACGCUGGCGGCGUGCUUAACACAUGCAAGUCGAACGGAAAGGCCCUGCUUUUGUGGGGUGCUCGAGUGGCGAACGGGUGAGUAACACGUGAGUAACCUGCCCUUGACUUUGGGAUAACUUCAGGAAACUGGGGCUAAUACCGGAUAGGAGCUCCUGCUGCAUGGUGGGGGUUGGAAAGUUUCGGCGGUUGGGGAUGGACUCGCGGCUUAUCAGCUUGUUGGUGGGGUAGUGGCUUACCAAGGCUUUGACGGGUAGCCGGCCUGGGAGGGUGACCGGCCACAUUGGGACUGAGAUACGGCCCAGACUCCUACGGGAGGCAGCGGUGGGGAGUAUUGCACAAUGGGCGGAAGCCUGAUGCGGCCACGCCGCGUGCGGGAUGACGGCCUUCGGGUUGUAAACCGCUUUCGCCUGUGACGAAGCGUGAGUGACGGUAAUGGGUAAAGAAGCACCGGCUAACUACGUG